UACAGAGGUCUCAAGCGUUGUUCGGAUUCAUUGGGCGUAAAGGGUGCGUAGGUGGCGUCGUAAGUCGGGUGUGAAAUUUCGGAGCUUAACUCCGAAACUGCAUUCGAUACUGCGGUGCUUGAGGACUGGAGAGGAGACUGGAAUUUACGGUGUAGCAGUGAAAUGCGUAGAGAUCGUAAGGAAGACCAGUGGCGAAGGCGGGUCUCUGGACAGUUCCUGACAGCUGAGGCACGAAGGCCAGGGGAGCAAACGGG
rnacentral:rRNA from 1 species